GAUGCAGGAGUGAAGCAGCUGUGUGGUUUUCUGAAGAACCCAGAAUGUAAACUACAGACUCUGGGUUUGGUAAACUGCAGUCUGACAAAGAUCAGCUGUUCAUAUUUGGCUGCAGCUUUGCAGUCCAACCCCUGCCAUCUGACAGGUCUGCAGCUUCUGGAAAACAACCUGCAGGAUUCAGACGUGGUGCAGCUCUCUGCCCUUGUGGCGAGUCCACACUGUAGUCUGAAGACUCUGGAGUGGAGUCUCCAUGUGGAAGCUGGAUUCCAUCUGAGAUCCUACUUCUUUCACUCAGUUAGUGCUCAGAGUCCACCAUCAUCCCCGUCUGUUCCUCUAGAGCCAACCUAAAUGAGCUGUGGGCCACUGCUGGCACUGUCAUCUCCUGUGAGGGCCA